UACAGAGGUCUCAAGCGUUGUCCGGAAUUAUUGGGCGUAAAGGGCUCGUAGGCGGUCUGUCGCGUCGGGAGUGAAAACUCAGGGCUUAACCCUGAGCCUGCUUCCGAUACGGGCAGACUAGAGGUAUGCAGGGGAGAACGGAAUUCCUGGUGUAGCGGUGAAAUGCGCAGAUAUCAGGAGGAACACCGGUGGCGAAGGCGGUUCUCUGGGCAUUACCUGACGCUGAGGAGCGAAAGUGUGGGGAGCGAACAGG
rnacentral:rRNA from 1 species